rnacentral:lncRNA from 1 species
UUUGGGACAACAAAAAUCAUUUCCUAAACCAUUUUAACUUCACAAACUAUCAUCUUAUUUGCAACUCUCUUUUCUCAACUUUCUCUUCCCAAGUAUCAACAUAUAAAACAUGGGUUUUCAUUUACGUGGUAUCAGAAAGGCAUCCCUUCCUGCAAUCCAAGCCUUUUCAAAAGUUGUGAACGUGCCAAAGGGUUACAUUGCAGUUUAUGUUGGAGAUAAAAUGAAGCGGUUCAUCAUUCCUGUAUCAUACUUGAACCAACCUUCAUUUCAAGAUUUGUUGAGUCAAGCUGAGGAAGAAUUUGGGUAUGAACAUCCAAUGGGUGGUCUCACUAUUCCUUGUGGAGAAGAUGUGUUCUUAGAUAUAACUUCUCGUUUCAAUAGGUGCUAAUUGCGUGAAGAUGAGACUGACUUAGAUGUAGACUAUACUUGACACAGUUUUGUAUCGUAGUUUUAGCCUUGAAAAUAUCCCCUCUUGCCAUUUUUGUUAUUUGUUUAGACAAGUGUAAAAGAAUGUUAAUCUGAAUGAGAAGUUUUCUACAUGAUGUUUCUUAGCACAUUUUCUAUAAAUCUGAUUUAUAUAUCACAUUUUCUCUUUAUCUAUCGAUAAGAUUUAAAUUAAACUAUUAACUCCACAUUUUAUAACAAAAUUAAUUAAAAAAACUACUUAGAAGAGAUAAGAAGAUAAGUUUAAAACAAAACGAGUGAUGUAACAGCAGAGAAAUAAAGCUAAGCAUAUGGCUGACUAAUUCAAUAGUAGUUGGGGUGAGGAGGUUGAGAGAGAUUUGUGUGUAACGUGUGGGGAGCUAACCGAAACAGUGAGCCACUUAUUAUUUAGUUGUAAGUAUGCAAUUCAAGUAUGGAAUUUGUGUAAUAAGUGGGUUGGGAUAACCUCUGUUUCGCAAAAUAUAUUAUAAAUUUGUCCGUCAUAAAUUGAUGCUUUUCGUUGACCAUAGCAAAACAUUUUUCUUUAGCUGUAGGGUGGCUGGUAGGAUCUGGCAAGGGUAGGAAGAUUCUCAGUUUAUCAUAAUAGGGCUUAUGUACACUUUAACCAAUAUGAAAUUAUUGGUAUGAACAACACUGUUAAUAAGAUUUGGAGGAACAUGUGGAUGGCUAUUGUUUGGAGGAUAUGGACUCGUAGAAAUAACAUAAUCUUUAGAGGUGGAAUUUUAGAUUCAGAAGAGGUUUUGCAUUGGCACAGAUCAUGACAUGGGCAUGACAACAGUUGUUUUUCAUAUUCUGAUUGGUGCCUAAAUCCAAUUGGAUGCCUGCAGUCUGUCAAAAAGGGCUAGUCUGUUAAAAAGGGUUGAAAUUAAGUGUUUAGAUAUUGGUACAGGGAUACCUGCAAAUUCUCAGUAAUUGUUACAUCAAUAUACAAGGAGUAAGUCUGCAUGUUAUGACCUUCUAUUUGCUUUGUUUAUGUGUUUCUUUUUAGUGCUCAGGUAUGCAUCUGUAUUGAACACACAGUGCAAAUUAACAUUGGAGUCCACGGGAGAUGAAACAAUUGUUGUUGAAGUUUCUCUCUAACCACAUGACAACCAAUGUCAAUGUGUUUAGUAUGUUUAUGGAAGCUGCUAAUUGUGCUAUAUUUCUUGCAGAUUGACUGUCAUAGAACAGGCUAGCUGCGUUGCAAGGUGCAAUGUGCAGAUCUUCAAGCAAGUAGACGAGCCACUCUAUCUUACUGUAGGUGGAGGCUAAAGCCCGAUACUCCGUUGUAUCUGGAAGUUAUUAAUGACCCAAAGUCGAAAAAGGUAAUGGAGGAAGAGGUGUAUAUGAUUGAGAAGAACAAAACUUGGAAGCUUGUUGACAUACCUCGAGAUUGAAAGGUACAUCAAAUGGAUGUCAAGUCAAUAUUUCUAAAUGGAUUUCUUGAACAAGAAAUUUCAGGUUUCAUUGGGGAAGGAAGAGAAGACAAAGUUUAUAAGUUGUCUAAAACCAUUUAUGGCUUAAAAGAUGUUCCCAGAGCAUGGUAUUAUCUUAUCAGGCUUAGGCUUUGAUAAAAGUCUUUUAAAAGGUGUUGAAUGGAGAUUAAGCAAAGUGAGGAUGAAAAAAAAAAUUGCAUAUUUGUUUACCAAGUCACUUCCAGCCAACAAGUUUGAGUUCUCAAUACAGAAGAUUGAAAUUUGCAGUUCAAAAAAUCAAAGAGGAGUGUUGAAUGUUGUGUUUUUUAACUGCAUAUAAAUGCACAUAAGUGCACGUGAUAUUUUAUUCUUCUGUUUUAAUUAUGUUUUAAUUGCUGAUUUAAUAUUUCUAGGUAUCUGGUCAUAAAAUCAUUUAAGAGUCAGUACUCCAGAUACUGUAAAUGUAAUUGUUAGCACAGAUAAUAAAAUAUCUUCCUCUAAUUUAUUCUUAAAAAAAACCAACAAUCUCAUCCUCUUACAAAAUGGAAACUGUGAUUUGUAGAAUCUAUAUAUGGACAAAAGAAACCUUACAUCAACUGCAUAUGAAAUUUUUAUAACAAAGGAUCUUAUCCAUUGAAAUCAAUGGGUACAACACGGCUUAAUUUUAAGCAUAUUAUAACUGUCUCGGCUGGGGAAAAAUCCGCUAGUGUAAAAAACUAAAAAACCUUUCAAACCCGUUAUGAGUAUAGUGGAGUCUUUUAGGUGUUGUAUACCAUUCCAAUUGCUGGGAGUAGUAAACAUUGAAAUACAUAAAUAGAAAGACUUAGCAUUUGAAUUCGUUAUCAUUACUCAAAAAAUUGGUAAUAAUAGUUACAAGUUCGAGAAGAUGCCUAUUGUACAAAAAUGUCUCUAAUAAUCUAUGUCAGUCUCCUAAAGUGAGAUCUAUUGUCCCUUGAAGCAAGAAAUUGUAUGUUGGAAGACAUCUUCACUACAAGGAAUUGUGAGGCCACCCAUGGGAUGAUCAUAUCCAAACUCUUCCUCCGCUUGACUCAGUAAGUCCUGGAAUGAAGGUUGGUUCAAGUAUGAGAUGGGAAUUACAAACCGAUUUUGUUUCUCUCCAACAUACACGGCAAAAUAGCCCUUUGGUAUGUCUUCAGAUUUUGAAGUUGCUUGUCUUGCUGUGAAUGAUGCCCGUCGGAUGGCAGGUAAACGGAAACCCAUUUUUUGAGUUUGUUUGAAGGAAGAAGAACAAUCUCAAAUUUACAGAGAAUGAACCUAAAUUUUGAUACUUGAGGAUUACAAAGGCUUGUGUUGUUUUUGAAGGUAUAUAGGAUAGUGUAUAUAUAGCUGUUAGAAGAAGGAGAGCAUACAGAUGAGAUAUCGCGUGGUGUUGUCUUCAGUACUUCUAUCAAGCAUAAAGAAGGGUACAAGUGUGUAACCCCACCUUGUUGAACAACGAACAACAUUAAGCCUCCACAUGCACCCAAUGAGAUGUGGCUAAAUGAAGGCCUAAGUCUCUUCAUGCAUUAAUUGGUAUUACAUAUUUUGUAAAACAUGUUUUGGACAUGUUUUCUUCACACUACCUAAAAUUGAAGAACAGCUGGAUAGAUGAAAUUAUAAGGCAAUGGACAGCGAGAGAUGAUAGACCAUUAUAUUCAUGAGAUUUGAAAUCAUACGUCUAAUCUAUUUCAGGUGAAUUGGCUUGGGAUAGUGUACUAUCGACUGUAACAUCUCAUAUUAAUCCCUAAGAAACACUUCCAAGACAACACCAUGUGCCCUUUCUGUCUUAUCGAUCCCAUGACUCUUAUCUCAUAGCCUUCCACCCUCAAUCAUUCAAGUAGCCGAUGAUAUCCUACAAAACAUUUCAUCUAUAUAUAUUCAAGGCUCUAAGCCUUUGGGACAACAAAAAUCAUUUCCUAAACCAUUUUAACUUCUCAAACUUGCAUCUUAUUUGCAGUUCUCUUUUCUCAAUUUUCUCUUCCCAAGUAUCAACAUAUAAAACAUGGGUUUUCAUUUACGUGGUAUCAGAAAGGCAUCCCUUCCUGCAAUCCAAGCCUUUUCAAAAGUUGUGAACGUGCCAAAGGGUUACAUUGCAGUCUAUGUUGGAGAUAAAAUGAAGCGGUUCAUGAUCCCUGUAUCAUACUUGAACCAACCUUCAUUUCAAGAUUUGUUGAGUCAAGCUGAGGAAGAAUUUGGGUAUGACCAUCCAAUGGGUGGUCUCACUAUUCCUUGUGGAGAAGAUGUGUUCUUAGAUAUCACUUCUCGUUUCAAUAGGUGCUAGUUGCAUGAAGAGACUGACUUAGAUGUAGACUCUACUUGACACAUUUUUGUAUCUUAGUUUCUGACCAUCAAAAUAUCUCCUCUCUCUCAAUUUUUGUUAUCUUGUUUAGGCAAGUGUAAAAAAAUGUUAAUCUGAAUGAGAAGUUUUCUACACGAUGUUUCUUCCCAAAUGUUCUAUGAAUCUGAUCUACAUAUCCCAUUUUCUCUUUUUCUAUCAAUCAGAUUUAAAUUAAACUAUUAACUCCACAUUUUCUU